rnacentral:lncRNA from 1 species
CAAAAACGAAAAACGAUAUGUUUGACCGGAAUGGAAGCGUAAACGAAAUGUUAUUUAUUAUUUUGUUUUGGAUUGAAACCAAAAUAUUUUUUAUCAGUUUUCGGUUCAAGAGGAAAGUCGGUGAUCC